ACGUCAAGUCCGCAUGGCCCUUAUGGGUUGGGCUACACACGUGCUACAAUGGGAAUGACAAAAGGAGGCAACAUGGCAACAUUGAGCAAAUCCCAAAAAGUUUCCUUAGUUCGGAUUGUUCUCUGCAACUCGAGAACAUGAAGUUGGAAUCGCUAGUAAUCGUAGAUCAGCACGCUACGGUGAAUUUGUAUCUAAGCCUU
rnacentral:rRNA from 1 species